rnacentral:sRNA from 1 species
AUCUCCUAUCCCAGCCUGCUGGGCAUGGUCAGUGAAGUGUGGGUGAUUGGGAACGCAGGCUGGGCCCAGCUAUGUGGCUUAUAGGGAGAUGGCCAAAGUGCAAGGCAGGGCCGGGCAGGAGAUGCUGAAGGUGCGCCCGGCUCAGAGGUGUGCAAAGGCUCAGGAGCCAGGGCCAGCUCUCCCUGCUUGAAGGAGAGCGAGUGUGUCAGGGUAGCUCUCCCUGGUACCAGUGCCAGUCCAUCUCUAACAGAAGAGCAUAUGUGUACCAUCUGUCUUGUUUCUGCUGUUGUGGCCAACAUCUUGCAGUGUAAGCCAGUGCCCACUCCUGAGGGGUGGGGGGUAACAUGGGGAGGUGAGUGUAAUCAUUUUCCCCAAAUGAUUACAGAAACUCUCUGGGUUCUUGCCCUCCUGGUCAUUGGAAGGGGAAGUAGUUGUGGAGGGGUUAGGCCUGCAGGUGGGGCAGCCCUAGGACUGUGUGGUGGGUGGGCCCUCUGCCCGAGCCAGCUGCCAAGAGCAGGGCCUGCCUUUAGGUCCCUGAGACCGAGGCCUCGGCACUGUCCCCGAAGAGGCCUUUACUCUGGACAUGAUAAGGGAGGGUGAGGGGGCCCACACGGGCCACCAGGGCAUGUUAAGGAACUUGAGAGAGAUUUUUGGGAAGCAAGUUGAAAUGUAGGUAGCACUUGCUUCUGCCUUUGCUGUGCAUGGUCUUUGGCUGUGACGGAGGGGAGAGAAGGCAAGCCCCACUCUGGCCCCGGGGUGGGAAACUUCCCUGAGCAGGAGGGGGAAAGGUCCCAGCCAGGCACAGCCACAGCUUGGGGGAGCUCUGGCAUCCCGAGGAACCACAGCACCCUUGGGGCUGGCCUAAGACGGGAAGGGGCUGAGGCCAGCCUGAUGCUGCUCUGCAUUCAUGGAGUGUGCAGAGAGCUCAGUGCCUGAGGCUGAUGGGCUGGGCUGCAGCGUGCUGUUCUUACUGGCUAUGGCCACACUCUGGUUUCACUCCUUGAUGAGGACUCUGGGCACCACGAGCACCUCACCUCCCUACUCUGCCCAUGGCAGGAGGCCAUAUAAGUGGCGUGGUGUGGGCAGAAAGGCCUGGCAGCUAUGGACUGCCCCUCGCUCUCUGCUGCUGUCAGUGGGCCUGGCAUCACUGAGGCGGGCCAGUCAGCAUGCAGUUAUGUUGCCACAGCUCCUGGCUGUUUCGUGUCUGCCAGACCCUGGGCGCGCCUACCUUGCCAGACCCUGGGCGCGCCUGCCUUCAGGGUCCCAGGCACACAGCUGCUGGGCAGCGGGCAGGCCGUAGAGCUACAGCCUGCAGUCCUGAGCGUGAGGUGCUAUACUUCCCAGGAGACGUCGGACAAGAGUGUGAUUGAGCUGCAGCAGUAUGCCAAGAAGAACAAGCCCAACCUGCACAUCCUCAGCAAGCUCCAAGAGGAGAUGAAGAGGCUGGCUGAGGAAAGGGAGGAGACUCGAAAGAAGCCCAAGAUGUCCAUUGUGGCGUCCGCCCAGCCUGGCGGUGAGCCCCUGUGCACCGUGGACGUGUGAGGGAGGUGGCACGGGCCAGGGCGCGGGGGCCGCCAGCCGCACUUCUGAGGAGACCAGCAGUCAUGCAUCGUGCACCAGUGUCAGGCCUCCAACCCACGCUCCUUCCCUGUGGCCAACUUGUGGGCCCGGCCUUAGGGUGGAGGCUUUGGUGUACAGGGACAGCCAUGGCCACACAGCACACAUGUGGAGCAGCGGCUCUCCCUGGAAAGCUCCAGGCCUGAAUGGAUGGACUCAGCGACUGCACCAGUGGCAGCUGGUGACUGUGGACAGUGGUGGACCCUGCUUCUGUGCACCUGCUGCAGGCUCUUUUUAUGAAGGCUUUCAUGAAUUUUAGUAUGUAAUACGCACUGACGACACAUGAUGCUUGGAUGACAGAUGAGAGGGGAUGGCUGAGUCCUGUGGCUGGCCCGUGAUGCCAGGUGGCCCAUGUGCCCAGGGCGCCUGCAGGGCUGCUACAGGGACCUGGUCAGGAGGUGCACAUGGUGCCCUGCCCUCACCCACCCUCUGUGUUUCCCCUUCUUUGAAAAGGUAGAACAGAAAGGAAUAUUUUAAACCUUUUUGGCUUAAACAGAAUUUUAGCAUCAGAACUAGCUUUCUGGAAUUGGAGGCAAACCAUCAAGGUGGUCCCUCUCCAGUCUGGACACGAUGCCAGCAAGGAUGACAUCCUGCCACCUCCUGGAGUUACCCUGGCCUCCUAGGGCCCCUUUUUCUGAUGAAGUCUUAAUGCCCUAAAAGCGCCUCUCUGGACACUGAGGCCCUCUCUGCCUUUCCUGGCCUCCGGCAACAGUUUUUUACAAAGAUUUUUUGCAGUCGAGUCCAUAUGUCCACCCAUUGAUUUUUAAAGCUUUUGUGAUAUUUUAGCAUUUUGAAAGACUUUUACAGUGAGAGUAGAAGGUAGAUUUGGAAUCAUGCAUUUUAGCAAGUGGACUUGUUUAAACAGGAAGCAAGGGCCUUCAGUGUAGCCCAUUCUUGAUCCAGAGCUGUUGCCUGUGACAGCGGUUUCUCUGGAUGUCAAAGGCAGCUGCCUGGUGCCCAGCUUGCUUCUCGACUGGUGGCCCCUAUGGGUGGGUGUGCGAUGGAAAUGUGUUCCUGCCUGAGUCUGAGGCACCAGGGUGUGCUCAAAGGCUGGCCCUGGUGGUGGAUUGGCACCU